CACACACUGCCAUUUAGGCACUCCAGACUCUUUAUUUUCUCCUUCACUAUUCAAAAGACUCACCCUUCUUCGUCAAACUCUUCAUUCUUUUUUUUGUUUCUUUCUACACCGAGCACCGUCGAGCCAAGCCAAGCAAGAGUUGAAGCAUUCUGUCGCUCAUCCUUGCCAGUAGAAAAUUUCACCUUCGAGCCGUUCGUUGGAGCUUCUGAAAAAAAAAAAAAUUCUCAUCUUUGUUUUCUUCGUCGUGUAAGCAGUCAAGAAAAGGAAAAAAGUGAACAAUGGCACCAAACAAAAAUACAAAAAUAAAGCAUGGAGCAGUAAAAGGUAAAGCAGUUCACAUACAAGCAACUCGAAGUUCAUCAGCAGCUCGGUCUUCUUCUUCUGACCUUCCAGUUUCUGAAAGAGUUUCUCAACGUCUCAAGGAGCUGGAUCAAGCCAAAUUAAAAAUUCAUUAUGAGAGAGGAUUCGACCUAUCUGAUACAAAAGGAGCAUAUAUGGAACAUUUUGUCUGGCAACACGUCACGCCAUGGCAAUGGGAAGUCUUUGCUAACCAUCCAUCUGCUCAGGUGCCAAUAAAGUUGGUUCACGAUUUUGUGGCCAACUUCCCGGAUGAGGAGGCACCACUUGCAGUCCCAGUUAGAGGAAAACUGGUGGACAUAUCCCCAGCAAAAAUUCAAAAGGUGUACAACCUCAAAAUUUCAGAUUACAACUGGUUCCUGAAGCUUCUCUCAGACAGAACUCGGAAUGAGGUUUAUUCUUUAAUGGCACGGACGGUCACCGGAGAUGACACGACAAAAUGGGAUUCUGAAAAGAUGCUGACAACGGAUCUUACAAAGGAAGCUCAAGUUUGGGCGAAAUUUGUUAGACAUCGCAUUUUUCCCAAGCUCCACAUAAAUCACUUAUAAACUAUGGUUGGUGUAGUGGUUUAUUGCAUUCUUCAAGGUCUGCCUUUUCACCCAGAGCGGCUCAUACAUCAAGAAUUGUGUGAGAAUUCAAAAAGGACAUCAGGACCAUUUUACUUCCCAUGCUUGGUGAAGUUAUUGUGUGAUGCUGCUAGAGUGCCUUCUUCCUCCCAAGAUGGAGCACUGGUCUCAAUCCCUAACUCACCAAUGAAUGAGAUAUGCUUGAAGAGGAUAGCUGAGUCAAGCCUACGGAAGAAAAAGAAAAACAUCUUCAGCUCUGCCUUCUCAAGGAGCAGCUAAAGAAAAGGUUUCAGCUAUGGAGGAGCGAAUUGAGAAGCUGGAAAAUGUCAUAAAAAGGCUCCUCAAGUACAUACAAAAUACAAGAAAAUGCUGUGCAGCUUCAUACAGAGAAACUUUUCCUGAUGAAGACUUUCCUGAGAUUCCAGAACAUUUAUUUCAAGGUCACCUCCAUGAAGGAACUUCUAAGGCUGCCGAACAAAAUUUCGAUGAGUUGGUUGAUUUGGAUGACACCUUUUCUGAAAGCUGAAAUCUCUUGUUGGUACCCAGCUGAGAAGAAAAGAAUGAAAAGGCACGUGGAUCAGCUUUAUGAAGUGAACACAUUUUAACCAUUGGAUGACAAGGAGAUUGACGGCUCUUAGUGUGUAGAAUUUUUAGUUUUAGUUCCUUUUGUGGUUUGUAAAAAGAAUAUAUAGAUAUCAGAUUUUUAGAUCGGAGACAGAGACUUAGAAAAUUUUCAAUCUUUGUAUUUCUUUCAUUGUUUAGAAAACUCGUGUGUUCUUCACUCCUUGAAAAUCUUCAAGAUCUCAUUCUUUUUCAAGCACUGAUAACGCUGGAAGGAAGGAUCGAAGGAGGUGCUUGCAAGUGGAGAAAGAUCCUGCUCUAGAUAGGAUCGGUAU